UGUCAAUGUCACAAAUGUGAACAUUAGCAACAUUGCUAAUUCCCAGCUGAAUGUUUUCCUUGACAACCUGCAGGGUUCAACCAAUGGAACUGUUCUAGGAGAACCAAGAAGUGUAUUUGGGUCCUCUGUUCCAGUGAAUCUAGCUAAUGUCAACUACUAAUGUUGUAAGCCCCAUAGCUAAUUCAAAAGACAGCAUCUCACUUAACAUCUUACUGAGUCAUGCUGCAAUUUGCCUACUCAGUAUCUUCUGGCAUCUGAUCUGAGGGGCCCGAGAGAGAUCUGAAGACUAAUUGUGCUGUGGGUGGAGUAGUAUAGAUAUGCACUAGCAUCAGCAUGUUUUGCUAAAGUAUUCAUACCUCCACUGGUGUCUUUCUUUAUUUGAUUCUUAGAUUAUUUGCAAACAUAUAGGAAACCCAUGUAUGUUUGACAUAUACAGGGUGUUGGACACAUAUAUAAAGCCCAUAUAUUAACAUAUACAUAUAUACAGCCCAAGCACAUGUAUAAUCCUUCUUUUUGUGUGUGUGUGUGUGUGUGAUCUUUUAAUGAUCCUCUGACAAUAUACUGACAGUGGAAAUGAUCCUGAAAACUUUUUUUUUGAAGUUACAUUAAAAGCUUAUUAACAAACAUAAUAACAUUAAAAUACAGAGUUAUUUUUUUUUCUGGGGUCAUAUCUAUUAUAUCCACACUUAAUAAUAUCUUCACAGCUAAAUUUGCAUAAGCACCAUUUUAAGAAUCUCUUGUCUAUCACAAAACAAUAUAUAAUGCAGAGCUAAUUGAGAGUGGCGUGUUUGAUACUAAUGAUAUUAACAAGUAAUAAUAAAUAAAUUAUAAACAAGUAUUCUGGAAGAUCUCUUAGACUGAACAUUUAAAACAAUAAAAUAAAUGUAA